rnacentral:lncRNA from 1 species
AUUUGAGCUAAAAAAAUAUUUUUUCAAUAAACCACAAUAAGCUUAAGUCAGAAUAUCAGAUUAUAGAAAUCCAUAAGACAUAAUUAUGAAUGUAAUGGCUGAUAGAUAGUUGUUAACCAGUGCAUGUGAAACAUCACAUUACACCAAACCUUGGAAACAGGACAAACAAACGUCAUGAAACCAGAUGCACCUGGCGGCUGAUGACGUCACUAAUCAUACACUGAGGUCAGGUGUGCGAUGUGUCUGACAGUAAUGUUUGACUAUAAGAUGAGCAGUUGUGGUCAGAAUGCCAGUGAAUAUAAUAGACUGAGGGGUGUGUUCCUGUCGUUCAUAUUUUCAUGGAACGUUGUGAUUUCGGUCUGUGGUGAUGGGCUUCACUCUAUGAAUCUGAGACACAAGCAGGAGGGGGUUGAUAUUAGUGAAAUACACCAAAUCAAGCAGAUCAAACAUGUGCAGAGUGGACCAGCAGCACAAAACAUGAGAACGGAAAACCCAGGGCUCCUAAUGUGAUGCAGCAGACGCCACUCUGAGCGUGACUGUACCUCUGCGGUGACGCGAGGAGACGGCAGAUGAGACAUUAAAGGCCCGAACCCGGGACGCGCUGAUGGAGGGCGAGCGGCGGCGCCGGAUGAGGGCAGUGCGCCGCGUCCCGUUUGAUGCUGACAUAAUGUCCCUCAGCCAGAGGCAACGGGAAGGUGGAGCGGUGUCCUUCUGUUGGAGGAAGAUAAGUCAGGCAGCUAAUACAGAGGCAAAGACAACUGCUCCUUCCCCUACGUCUGAACAGAUGUGCUUCAUUUGGAGCCGGGCCAAAGGCGGCGCACAGCGGCCUCUCUGCGCCGGAUGCGACUGCAAACACGCGUCCGAUAAGGCCCAGGAAAACAACGGUCCGGCGCUCGGCUGAACCGAGGCGGAACAAGUGCUUGUAAAUGAUUGAGGCACGGACACACACACACGAGGGGCGCGCCGCUGGGAACGCCGCCGCUCCGGUUCAGCGGAUAGAAAUAGAUGUGCAACGCUGACCUGCACCAGUUCACGGCCGGCGCACAGGCGGCCUCCACCACCGAGGCACUGGAUGCAGAUGCACAACGGCCAACAGAUACACACAAUAACAUCUGUGGUCAAUUUGGGGAUUUGGUAGUUUCUGAUUUUGGGCCACGGGGUCAAAAAAACAACUUCAUGUCUUUUCUGAAUUUCAAUUGAAUGACUAUAUGAUAUUCGGCUUGUAAGUAUUUUUAAGGAGGCACUGCUACAUUCAACGCAGUUGCAUGCAAAUGGUGAUUACUGCAGUAUGUGUGGGUGUUAUAUUGUGUUUUCAAACGGAGACGGGUCAAAGGUUCUGUCUCGUCCGCUGAGUUUUGUAGGUGAUGAUUGAUGAUGCACGUGAUUCAGAUCAGAGCAGUGAAGAGCUGUUGCCAGAAAGCUGAACCUGUUACUUGUAUUUCUUUUAGAAAAAAAUCUGAUGCUGUUUUAUAUAUUUUUUUUUUAAACUACAGUCCAAAAAUACCAAAACAAGGUCUCUUGUCUUCUGUGCUGUCACUGCACUCUGUGAAGUCUGGCACUCAGCUGCUAGCUUGUUUGCGCUCGCUGAAGACAUAAAUGUUUGAAAUGAAUCAAAAAAUAUUUUAAUUUAUUUAAAAAUUAAUCAAUAAUUAACCAAACAGAUGGGCACUGUAGUUUUUAGCAUAUGUUAUCUAACUAGGAAUAACCAGAGCUUUGUUGGGGGCUGUUUGCAUUCGCGUGUUAAUUCACAUUCGGUGCUUGACUUGAGUGUUGACGGCACCAGGACGCGUCGACGGCCUCAAACAAGCUGAAGAAACCGUGUUCGUCGACGUGAAGACACAUGUUCAACAGCGGCUGCUCGGCUGCACGCGCUUAAGGAGUUUAUUGACAAUAACAAAGCU